rnacentral:rRNA from 1 species
AGUGAACGCUGGCGGUAGGCCUAACACAUGCAAGUCGAACGGCAGCACAGUAAGGGCUUGCUCUUACGGGUGGCGAGUGGCGGACGGGUGAGGAAUACAUCGGAAUCUACUUUUUCGUGGGGGAUAACGUAGGGAAACUUACGCUAAUACCGCAUACGACCUACGGGUGAAAGCAGGGGAUCUUCGGACCUUGCGCGAUUGAAUGAGCCGAUGUCGGAUUAGCUAGUUGGCGGGGUAAAGGCCCACCAAGGCGACGAUCCGUAGCUGGUCUGAGAGGAUGAUCAGCCACACUGGAACUGAGACACGGUCCAGACUCCUACGGGAGGCAGCAGUGGGGAAUAUUGGACAAUGGGCGCAAGCCUGAUCCAGCCAUACCGCGUGGGUGAAGAAGGCCUUCGGGUUGUAAAGCCCUUUUGUUGGGAAAGAAAAGCAGCAGGUUAAUACCCCGCCGUUCUGACGGUACCCAAAGAAUAAGCACCGGCUAACUUCGUG